rnacentral:misc_RNA from 1 species
UAAUAAGUGUUUUAUGGCACUUUUUAAAUCCAUAUCCACCUUGUGUGCAAUGUCAGUCGAUCUUCUUCAUGGAGAUCGACCAAACAUCAACCUUUAUCUUUUAACUCUUUGUCUGAAAAAUAUUAUGAAUAAACAAUUCAAAAUACAACUUUCAACAACGGAUCUCUUGGCUCUCGCAUCGAUGAAGAACGCAGCGAAAUGCGAUACGUAAUGUGAAUUGCAGAAUUCAGUGAAUCAUCGAAUCUUUGAACGCAUAUUGCGCUCUUUGGUAUUCCGAAGAGCAUGCUUGUUUGAGUAUCAGUAAACACCUCAAAGCUUUUGGAUUUUUUAAUCGAAAAGCUUUGGACUUGAGCAAUCCCAACACCAAUCUUUUUGAGAUCGGUGGCGGGUUGCUUGAAAUGCAGGUGCAGCUGGACAUUCUCCUGAGCUAAAAGCAUAUUCAUUUAGUCCCGUCAAACGGAUUAUUACUUUUGCUGCAGCUAACAUAAAGGGAGUUUGACCAUAUUGGCUGACUGAUGCAGGAUUUCACAAGGGUCGGCAACGAUUCUUGUUAAA